GGAGGGUAUAGCUCAGUGGUAGAGUGUGUGCUUAGCAUGCACGAGGUCCUGGGUUCAAUCCCCAGUACCUCCA
rnacentral:tRNA from 1 species